rnacentral:rRNA from 1 species
GACGAACGCUGGCGGCGUGCUUAACACAUGCAAGUCGAACGGAAAGGCCCUGCUUUUGUGGGGUGCUCGAGUGGCGAACGGGUGAGUAACACGUGAGUAACCUGCCCUUGACUUUGGGAUAACUUCAGGAAACUGGGGCUAAUACCGGAUAGGAGCUCCUGCUGCAUGGUGGGGGUUGGAAAGUUUCGGCGGUUGGGGAUGGACUCGCGGCUUAUCAGCUUGUUGGUGGGGUAGUGGCUUACCAAGGCUUUGACGGGUAGCCGGCCUGAGAGGGUGACCGGCCACAUUGGGACUGAGAUACGGACCAGAAUCCUACGGGAGGCAGCAGUGGGGAAUAUUGCACAAUGGGCGGAAGCCUGAUGCAGAAACGCCGCGUGCGGGAUGACGGCCUUCGGGUUGUAAACCGAUUUCGCCUGUGACGAAGCGUGAGUGACGGUAAUGGGUAAAGAAGCACCGGCUAACUACGUG